UACGUAGGGUGCGAGCGUUAAUCGGAAUUACUGGGCGUAAAGCGUGCGCAGGCGGUUCGCUGUGUCCUGUGUGAAAGCCCCGGGCUUAACCUGGGAAUGGCAUGGGAAACUGGCGGGCUGGAGUGUGGCAGAGGGGGGUGGAAUUCCGCGUGUAGCAGUGAAAUGCGUAGAGAUGCGGAGGAACACCGAUGGCGAAGGCAGCCCCCUGGGCUAACACUGACGCUCAGGCACGAAAAGCGUGGGGGAGCAAACAGG
rnacentral:rRNA from 1 species